UUUUCCAGACUGUUUUCAAAUUAGUUGUGGCCAUAUGAUUAUGUUCUUGUGAGUAAGAUUUAAGUGGAAGUGUCAUCUGACAACUUCUGGGAGACUUCCUUAGAGGGGAGCUGAUGCAUUCUCUCCCAUCUUCUUCAUCCUUUUUUUCUUCCUGUUGGCUGACAUGCAGAUGGGAUGGCAGGAUGGCGCAGCCAUCUUGGGCUGUGAGGCAGAUAUAGCAACAUGUGUACUUUUCAGAUAAGAACUGAGAAUGCAAUGAAAGCAACAAGCUAGAAGGAGCUUGGCUCCCUGAGGUCUUCAUGGAACAGUGUCAUUAUACUAACCCUAGACUGCUUACUUCUGGACUUCACUGCACAAAAAAUUUAAACUUUCAUCAUGUUUAAGGAAUAUUAUUUUGGGUCUUUGUUACUUAUACCAAUUUAUAUACAUCAUCAUGGUUUCUUGGGAAGAUAUCAGAAUUGGUAAUAAGAUUUGUUUUAGUUCUAUCUUUUCCCCUAACUUAAAUGCUUCCAAGUUCUCUUGUUUCCAAUAUAGAAAUUAGAACUAGAUAUAUCUCCCUCACAUGCAUUGAUUUUUAUAUUAUAGUAAAAUACAUUUCACAAAAAAGAGAAUAGAGAUUUGAGGAGUGGAUACAAAAAAGUCUGAGGGGAUCUGAUUACACUGGUGUAUUUUGGCUUUAGGCUAUAAGGGGGAAGAGAUCCUGCUAAAUUAAUUAAUUUAAGCACAAAAGAGAGAGAGGAUUAAACAUUCAAGUUACAGCAAGUCCAGAAAUGAUGCUGGGUCUCUGAAAAGCUGGAAACAGGGAUCCUCUGUGUCUCUUAACCCUACUUCUCUAUAGUUUGGAUUCAGUCUUUUUCAUAGCGGCUUCGUGGCUUCUUUCACAAGGUGAGUUUUGUAUCUUACAGAAUUAGCCAUUGGAGAUGGAUGCCUCCCUCUCUUCACUCUGUUGUGAGAACUCUCAGGAAAGAGCUCCAACUGGCCAAUCUUGGUUCAGCUGCUCUACCUAGAGACCUAUCAGUCAUUGCCAGGAAGUGUGCUGUGCAAAUGAACUGUUCUUGCAGAAUGUGGCUAUGCGGAUUGUAUAUAAUGAGCAUGUGUUACUUUUAUCGUAAGCGAUGAGAUGAAUGUCUGCAGUGAUGAGAACGUCACUCCUCUGCAUUCCCCUCCCACUCCUGCAGUCUCACAGAGACGAACCAGUGGCCUUGCUGGGUGCCCCGGUCCCUUCCCUGGGCUCUGUGGAACAUCAACACAGCUUGAUUCAAUAUCAGCAAGAAGACUACUGCCAGGACAGUGCUGUGCUUGUCAGACUGGCCAAGAGGAGGCCACACAUGAAGACUGAGCAAGAGGCAGCCAGUCACCCUCUUGAGCUCCUGGGUAAGGGAGAACUUCCCUUAGCAGGUAGAUCUGGGAAGGAGUAGCCAGAGACAUGGGCUGCCUUUACUUUUCUGGGAAACUUUAAAAAGAAGCCAGAUGUUUGCGUGUCCGGUAGUAUUUAGGUAAGGUCUUGAUUAACAGAGGAGAAAUAGAUGUUUGCCUUCCCGGAAAAUAUGGAUACUUCUACAUCCACCCUCACAUAAUCUCAGGGCAUUUCAGUGAAACAGAUGAGGGCGAAGCCUAGGAUUGGGAGACUUUGCAGGGAGUAUCCCAGAUCAGAAGAGAAUGAGCAGAAAGUAGCUAUGGGGGAGGAACGCUUGGCUAAGCCACCUUCAGAAUCUUGUGAGCUGGCUUAGUUCUGGGAGGGGAGAGAAAGGGCCAAGUAUAAGUGAGGCGUGGGGUAGAGGGAGAGGGACAAACAGGAAGAAAUGCAGCCACAUGCUAAGAUGCCCACAAUAAGGGCAGAGUCUAGGCCCUCACCAUGUUCUCUGAAAACUGUCUCUCACUUCCAUCCACGGAAUGAGCUCCUGGAGUGAAAGUUUAUUUUCCCUGGACUUCAGACCCUGGCUAUAGCAGGUGGGACCAUGGUUGGACCCUGGAGUCAUGCGGGCCAAUCAGAUCAUCUCUCUUGAAGAUUUGGAACAAAAACAGGAAAACAAUUGGGGCAAUUGAUAGCCUUGCAGGAAGGAAGUGAUUUUACUCUAGAUCUGGUGUGGUCAUUGUUUUUUGUCAUUGUUGUUUGUUUGUCAUUGAUAAGGAAAAGAAAAAAAAGGCACACACACAAAAGAUGCUUUACAGAGAGAAAAAAGAGAGAAGCGGACAUACAACCAAAGAGUCUUAAUGCAACACACAAGCUAGUAGGUCCUUCCGUUCAGAAACUGCUAGGAACACCCACUGCCUGGUCCAGAGGAUCUGAGACUCCGAGCAGCCUGGGAGGUGGGGAAGCCCUCAGAAGCCACCUCUGCAUCCCCGUCAGCCUGCUGGAGCUCAGAGGAUGGCCAGCGGUUGAUCCUCUACUCAGAAAUGACCUUUGCUUUCUUCUGCACCAUUUCUGACUCCAGCACAGCUCAUCAAUUAGCUGCGUUUAGGCCCUGGGACAGCAGACCCAAGCCUCCGAUACAGGCCACUGACAAGCGCGCUGUGGGCUCCAACCACCCCGGAGGCCUUGUCAUUUGUGAAAGACCCACGUGCUUUUCUGUCUCCACUGCCUCUGCUUUGUCUGCUUGAUCUGAACC